AUGGUUGUUAAAAUGCGGGAGCGAUGGGAACAACAUGGCACAGUGCUCUGAGAGACCUGUGUUUGACCAGUAAGUACAAGAGAAGUUAAAGCUCAAAGCUCAUAUUUUUUGAAGGUUAUUCAGCACCGUUUAAAAUUUCUAGCCAUCCCAGGUGUGCGUGCUUUGCUGUUUGAAAACCCCAUCUCUUUGCGGGGCCAGGCCUGCAGAGGCUAGGGACCUUCCUCCAGUGCUGCCCUGCUGUGGGGCCAGCAGACGUUGCUGGACCCUUUGCCUCUUCCCUGACCCAGCGUGGCAUGGCCUCUGUAUGGCUUGCACUUCGCUACUGUUCUGCAGCUUGCUGCUUUUCAUACAGUAGCACUGAGAGGCCUCACGUAAAAAAAAACAACACCAACAUACUAAUAAUAAUAAAAACCCAGCCCGUGGGUGCCAGGCUGUUGCUUGCUCUUCAGCAGAGAAGCCAGAAGUGAGCAGGGGUCAGGGAGCACCACGCGGUGCCUCACCAGGCAAAGACUUAAACCCACGGCUAUCAUUUCCCAACCAUCGAGCCGAACAGCCCCCUGCAUGCCAAAAAAACAUUUUUGUGGACGUAACUAUAGACAUGCGGCUAAAGGCAACACAACAACAGAACCUGGCUUGUUAAAAAAUACCCACAGAGUGUGGGGAAAAAAAUAAAAAUCUUCAACACAGCCUCGUCUGUCUCCAGCAAACAGGGCUUGUUUCAGGCCCUGGGCUCUGGCGCAGGCCCGAGCCACAGCGGGUGAGUGAGCUCCUGGCUGUCGGGCGCGCUGGUUUCGCAGCGGCUCGCACGCAGGCAUCGCCCUGCCCUUCGCCACCAGCCAGGGCCUGGCUUGGCCGCCUCACGGGCACUCGUGCCACCCCUUUGCCACCCGGCACGGCAGCCCGCCUGGCCGCCCUCGGCUGGGAUGGCGUGGCAGCUGUGGGACACGGGCCAUUCCCCCCCUCCAAGGAACAUCUCUGAGAGACACCAGCACUGCGGAACGAAGCCACGCUUAUCUCAUGCAUGCCACAGGUGUGAUGUCAUCCCCUCUGGCGAAGGAACGAGGAUGUCUACAGCCUCCGCCGCGCAAAAAUGCAGGAACUGAAGUUAACGUGCCUCAGACUUUGUUAAAAUACGGUGAUAAUUAAGAAGUAUAAUUACCACUACAAAGUUAAUUCCUCUUUGAGUUCUUACAAACAAGUUUUUAAUUUGCACCGAACAUCUACAUUUCAGAUGCGCAGUCACCCAGGCGCAGCCGCCACACGGCCCCGGGCUCUGCCCUGCACGGGGCCGGAGGCACUGUGGGUCCUCAGGGAGGGCCCGCUGCCACCACCUCUGCUGCCACCACCUCUGCUGCCACCAGCACUGCUGCCACCACCGCCGCUGCCACCGCCGCCGCCACCACCAAGGCCUGGGCACAGCCGUCCAAUUUUUGCACAGGCACUGAAGUGUUAAAGAAGAAAUUCAGCAGACCUCCAAUAUACUAGAAAUCAAGAAGUAAGAUCUGAAGAAAAAAAAAAAAGAUCUGCUGUUGGUUUAGACAGACAAAUCUAUAAUUCAGCUUUUUGUGUAUCAGCAUCACAACAAAAGUAAGUCAAGCUCACUCCGUAACCAAACAAAGCUAAACAGUGAACAUCUUGAAAACAGAAUUAAAAAGAAACCAUAAUGAUGAUGUAUUUCAAAUGUAUUAGUCUCCGAUAAAAGCCAAAGAGUUGGUAAUAUUGAUUUGCUGUGAAUUGCAGCAGACACACAUUCUAGGUGCUUGCAGUUUCCUGACUGAAGGCAUUCAAUGCACAGUCAUAGAUUCACGUUAGUAUUCUUGCUAUAAGAAUGAAAAGCGGGGAUUUUUUUUCUUCUCAAAAGUUAUUCUACACAGAUCUACCAAUAAGUAGCUGAAGGGAAAAACCCAGUAAAUGAAGUCAUUCCCUUUCUAAGCUUAGAGGAAGUUUUCUUGCUUUUUUGUCUCUUUCCUUCCAGAGGACAGAUCAUGUUUGAGAUUGGUUUGCUCUCGGAAAUACUCCAGGAAGUGUGUUUUUCUUUCCUUAUCAGUUUUAAAAAGUUAAGUCUCUUGCCACAACAAACUCAACUUUGUGUUGUUCAGAUCAGAAUAGCUUUUGUAUCCCUUUUUAUGAACACUCAAUUCUAUUGCUCAGCGUGAAGUACAGCCCUUUUGUUGCUUCUAUUUUUGUUAUUAUUCUUUGACCUCUUAAGAUGUAUACAUACACACUCAUGUUUGCACUCUCACAGACACAUGCAUACCCCUAACAGUUCUGGGGGAAAGAACUGGAUAGAAAGAGACCACAAUACCUAUAAUAUAUACCAUAAUUCACUGCAAUAUGAACUGUAAUAUAUUUGUUUGUUACCAGAAGUAAGAAUCUCAUUGAAAAAUAAAGAUCAUUUUGAAGCAGUGCUCUGUAUCCUUGCCAAGAGUAACACAGUAGUAGUUUAACAGGUUUUUUACUGGCAUAAGACAAAAAAGAAAAAAAAAAGCUACUUUUAAAGGUAACUGACAAUUAAGGUAAUGACUAUGUAAGACUUAGUUUCAGAGUAAUGUUUCGAAUGUAGUUUCUUUUUUUUUUUUU